CGUUGAAACACCGGUACCAGUACGAUCACCUAAGUUAAGCCACAUCGAGCCUAGUAAGUACUUAGAUGGGUGACCGCUUGGGUAUAUAAGAUACUG